GCCGGGCGCGGUGGCGCGCGCCUGUAGUCCCAGCUACUCGGGAGGCUGAGGCUGGAGGAUCGCUUGAGCUCAGGAGUUCUGGGCUGCAGUGUGCUAUGCCGAUCGGGUGUCCGCACUAAGUUCGGCAUCAAUAUGGUGACCUCCCGGGAGCGGGGGACCACCAGGUUGCCUAAGGAGGGGUGAACCGGCCCAGGUCGGAAACGGAGCAGGUCAAAACUCCCGUGCUGAUCAGUAGUGGGAUCGCGCCUGUGAAUAGCCACUGUACUCCAGCCUGGGCAACAUAGCGAGACCCCGUCUCU
rnacentral:SRP_RNA from 1 species